GACGGGGACCCGCACAAGCGGUGGAUGAUGUGGUUUAAUUCGAUGCAACGCGAAAAACGUUACCCACCUUUGACAUGGCAGGAAGUUUCCAGAGAUGGAUUCGUGCUCGAAAGAGAACCUGCACACAGGUGCUGCAUGGCUGUCGUCAGCUCGUGUCGUGAGAUGUUCGGUUAAGUCCGGCAACGAGCGCAACCCACACUCUUAGUUGCCAGCAUUCAGUUGGGCACUCUAGGAGAACUGCCGGUGAUAAGCCGGAGGAAGGUGUGGAUGACGUCAAGUCCUCAUGGCCCUUACGGGUUGGGCUACACACGUGCUACAAUGGUGGUGACAAUGGGUUAAUCCCCAAAAGCCAUCUCAGUUCGGAUUGGGGUCUGCAACUCGACCCCAUGAAGUCGGAAUCGCUAGUAAUCGCGUAACAGCAUGACGCGGUGAAUACGUUCCCGGGCCUUGUACACACCGCCCGUCACACCAUGGGAAUUGGUUCUACCCGAAGGUGGUGCGCCAACCAGCAAUGGAGGCAGCCAACCACGGUAGGAUCAGUGACUGGGGUGAAGUCGUAACAAGGUAGCCGUA
rnacentral:rRNA from 1 species